rnacentral:rRNA from 1 species
CCAAUAGCGUAUAUUAAAGUUGUUGCAGUUAAAAAGCUCGUAGUUGAACCUUAGGCCCGUGCGGGCGGUCCGUCCUCGUGGCGAGCACUGUCCGUUGCGGGUCUCACCUUCUGGCGAGCGUAGAUGCCAUUUAUUUGGUGUCUGCGGGAACCAGGACCUUUACCUUGAAAAAAUUAGAGUGCUCAAAUCGGGCUCCGACGCUUGAAUACAUUAGCAUGGAAUAAUGAAAUAGGACGAUGGUUCUAUUUUGUUGGUUUCCGGGACCGUCGUAAUGAUUAAUAGGGAUAGUUGGGGGCAUUCGUAUUCAAUUGUCAGAGGUGAAAUUCUUGGAUUUAUUGAAGACGAACUACUGCGAAAGCAUUUGCCAAGGAUGUUUUCAUUAAUCAAGAACGAAAGUUGGGGGAUCGAAGACGAUCAGAUACCGUCGUAGUCUCAACCAUAAACUAUGCCGACUGGGAAUCGGGCGAUGUUACUUUUACGACUCGCUCGGCGCCCCGAG